rnacentral:rRNA from 1 species
CAUGAACGCUGGCGGCGUGCCUAACACAUGCAAGUCGAGCGAGAAGCUCAUCACAGAUGCUUCGGUUGAAGUGAUGAGUGGAAAGCGGCGGACGGGUGAGUAACGCGUAGGCAACCUGCCCUUUGCAGAGGGAUAGCCUCGGGAAACCGGGAUUAAAACCUCAUGACACCUCUUAAAGACAUCUUUGAGAGGUCAAAGGUUUAUCGGCAGAGGAUGGGCCUGCGUCUGAUUAGCUAGUUGGUGGGGUAACGGCCUACCAAGGCGACGAUCAGUAGCCGACCUGAGAGGGUGAUCGGCCACAUUGGAACGGAGACACGGUCCAAACUCCUACGGGAGGCAGCAGUGGGGAAUAUUGCACAAUGGGGGAAACCCUGAUGCAGCAACGCCGCGUGUAGGAAGAAGGCCUUUGGGUCGUAAACUUCUGUUCUAAGGGAAGAUGAUGACGGUACCUUAGGAGCAAGUCCCGGCUAACUACGUGCCAGCAGCCGCAGUAAGAC